CUUGUUUUUAGUAUAUGGUAUGUGCCACCACUCAUCUUUAGCAAGUAACCUAUUGAUUACCAAUUCUACACUUGUGUUUGAUAUUCAAAUACAUAUGACAGAUAUCUAUGAUGAUUUAAUAUCUCGAAGAGUCAACUUCAGUGAUGCUGAGAAGUUUGCUGAAAUUUGUCCUUGUUGCAAUGGAGUUGGAUGGGGAGUCAUAUGGGGAAUGAUAUCAUUUACAUUUCUUUGUGGAUCAAUGUAUUUGGGACUUGUCAUCUUAUCAUGAGGAUUAGAGUCUUGGGUCCAAACUCAUCUUAGGGUUGCAGAGAACUCAUAUAUCUGUGUUUCAUUCCAAAUUUUGUAGCCUGAUUCAAUUGAUACUAAAAAAUAUUUAUGCCUUCAUUCUUUUAACCCUUUUUAUUGAGGGUUACAUGUGAUUAUUUUCAUAAUUUUUUAUAGGAGCUUUUUAUUUUACUCGUAUAUAUCUAUUCUUGUAGAGG